UUUCCAUCUGGAAGAAUCUGGAGACAGGUGCUGCAUGGCUGUCGUCAGCUCGUGUCGUGAGAUGUUGGGUUAAGUCCCGCAACGAGCGCAACCCUUGCCUUUAGUUGCCAGCAGUUCGGCUGGGCACUCUAAAGGGACUGCCGGUGUUAAACCGGAGGAAGGUGGGGAUGACGUCAAGUCCUCAUGGCCUUUAUGACCAGGGCUACACACGUACUACAAUGGCCGAUACAAAGGGCAGCGACACUGCGAGGUGAAGCCAAUCCCGUAAAAUCGGUCUCAGUCCGGAUUGGAGUCUGCAACUCGACUCCAUGAAGUUGGAAUCGCUAGUAAUCGUGGAUCAGCAUGCCACGGUGAAUACGUUCCCGGGCCUU
rnacentral:rRNA from 1 species